GCCCGCUCAGAAACUACAAAGGAAGUUAGACGGGGGCCCGGCACAAGCGGAGGAGCAUGUGGUUUAAUUCGAUGAUACGCGAGGAACCUUACCUGGGCUUAAAUGCUUAAUGACGUACUGGGAAACUGGUAUUUCUUCGGACAUUUUGUCAAGGUGCUGCAUGGUUGUCGUCAGCUCGUGCCGUGAGGUGUCGGGUUAAGUCCCAUAACGAGCGCAACCCUAUUGUUAGUUGCCAUCAGGUCAUGCUGGGGACUCUAACAAGACUGCCCGCGUAAGCGUGGAGGAAGGUGGGGAUGACGUCAAAUCAGCACGGCCCUCACGUCCAGGGCUACACACGUGCUACAAUGGCCGGUACAGAGGGCAGCCACUUGGUGACAAGGAGCAAAUCUCAAAAGCCGGUCUCAGUUCGGAUCGGAGUCUGCAACUCGACUCCGUGAAGUUGGAUUCGCUAGUAAUCGUAGAUCAGCAAUGCUACGGUGAAUACGUUCCCGGGCCUU
rnacentral:rRNA from 1 species